rnacentral:rRNA from 1 species
GAUGAACGCUGGCGGCGUGCCUAACACAUGCAAGUCGAGCGGCAGCGAGGGGUGCUUGCACCAUGUCGGCGAGCGGCGGACGGCUGAGUAGCGCGUGGGAACGUGCCCCAAAGUGAGGAAUAACUGCCCGAAAGGGUAGCUAAUACCGCAUAUUAUCUUCGGAUCAAAGGAUUUAUCCGCUUUGGGAGCGGCUCGCGUCGGAUUAGGUAGUUGGUGAGGUAAUGGCUCACCAAGCCGACGAUCCGUAGCUGGUCUGAGAGGAUGACCAGCCAGACUGGAACUGAGAAACGGUCCAGAAUCCUACGGGAGGCAGCAGUGAGGAAUCUUCCACAAUGGGCGAAAGCCUGAUGGAGCAACGCCGCGUGCAGGACGAAGGCCUUCGGGUUGUAAACUGCUUUUAUAAGUGAGGAAUAUGACGGUAACUUAUGAAUAAGGAUCGGCUAACUACGUG